GCUCUUCGGAACCCAACUUAUAACGAAUAUGGUUCUUGCCUUUUACCAGAACCAUCCGGGCGUUGUCUCACACAGGUAAUGCUGCAUCUCUGGCUUCAUUAUAUUUUUUGGAACCUUUCUAUCCAAAGAUC
rnacentral:snRNA from 1 species